rnacentral:lncRNA from 1 species
GACUGCUGACUGCUCUAACAACUCUCCUCUUCACUGGUAGUCUCUAUAUUCCUUCUCCUUUUAUAGCACUUCCUCAUUCUUAAUUUUCUAAUGAAAUCAAAGUAAUGAAUCUUACUUCUUAUGGCUUAGAAUUAGUUUGUUCCCCGUUUGCAAGAGAAACGGAGAGAAUUAAUUAAGAUUAUGUCAAUUGUAACUUACAUUGAUUGUGAAUUGGUUGAAUUGUAGGAUCCGAUCAAGAAGCCAUAAUGAUUCUGAUUAUUCAUGCACUGAACACUGAUUGUAAAUUAGUACAGAACACUGCUGGUUCAGUAUUAUUCUCCACUGUCAUUCAUUAUUCUGAAUUUAAUCGAAACGAGUUCUCAGUUUCUGCGUGUUUCCUGGUUUGUGACAGGAGGAAAAGAAAGAACGCUAUCUACGCUUCUCACUACCAAUCUCCGUUUCCCUUGUAUCUUGUUGUUAUCGUCUCUGUUUAUCAGGUAAUCUUCAUUAAUUCCUCCUUUUUGAGAUUCAUAUAGAUGGGACCUUAGGUGAUUCUCAUAUGAAAAAUGGAGUAUGCUAGCAUCCUUAUUUUCAUUAUUGAAUCUACAUUGAGUCUAUCAUACCCACAUACCAUUGAAAUCAUAUAUGGUGUUCAUCUGAAUAUGUGAUGGUAAUUGUGACUGUUAGAUUUGGAUUAAUCAAAUUUUCAUCUGAUAUUACUUGAUAGGUUGGUGGCAAGUGUCUUAAAAUUAGAAUUUAAGUUGAGUGUUUGCUUAAGACCUUGAGAGAAGCUGGUAGAUUAAAGAAUUAUUUGUAACCCUGGACAACCAAGAUAUUCAUCUCCUAACAUAGUCCAUCUAGCUCCUUCUCAAGACUGAACUAUUACAAGCUACCACCUAUAUGCAGUUUGAAACUAAUUCAACUUCAGAAAUAGAGGAAAUUGUUCUCUUCUACAUAAUUAAAAAACUGCUGCAAUCUGCAGGUUAGCACAGACAAUAAACUCUGUGAUCAGUUAUGACCAAUUCAAACAUAUAAGUUGUUACAACUUACAACAUAUAUGAUGUUACGAAACAACAAGUAGAAUAUACAUUAGCCUUAAUCAGAGUGUCCCUACAUAUUAUUUUGCUUCCCUAUAAGGAGCAGUUCCACCAAGUCCGGAAAUGGUGAGCAUAUAUAACUUGCAAGUUGCAACCAAAAAAAUAUUAGUCCAGUUAUAAUAUCAUGUGAGUCAAAUGGAAUUAUAAACUCUUCAAAGCAUGGUUUUUGAUACAUUGUUCCUAUAUAAUGUAUGCACGCAGGUUUUUGCUUGUGUUAAAUACCCAACAAAGAGUCAAAGACCAUGGGUUUAUCCUAACACUAUUUAUGCUAUGAACAUAAUAAAGUUUGAUUUUAUUUAUGCUCAUGCAAUUACCUCAUUUUCUAUUAUACAGUUUUAGAUGGCGUUACAAACAACUUCAACGCCUUAUGUUCGUUUAUGCUCAUGAUUCCCCUCAUUUUUUUUACUAGCCCAAUUUAUGCUUUGUCAUCUAUUUUACCCUCAAAUUUUAAUUUGUGUUUUACCUAUAAUGGUAUUUUCGGUGGUUUACAGAUUUCAGAGAGGACAUCGAAUCAAUUAGUAACUUCCUCAAAUUUUAAUACUCCCCCUUCAUCGAUUGGGGAACCACACUGUUGCGACGAUCUAUGAUUGUGUGGUAUAGUAUCUAUCAAGUCACAAAUAACAUUGAAGGUUUUGAUAGAUGAUUGUUCUCUACACGAGGGGCUUAAAAGGAGGACCUUCUAAAUUUUACAUGUGAGAUCGGAAUGAUGUAAGAGUUUUUAAAUCACUAGCAUGAACUCAAUUUGGAGUAUAUUUCUGGAAUUUGCUGAAUUGCAAACCCAAACAUGUCAAGCAGCAUUGAGUAGUAACAAUUAUCAUUGCAUAAUUUCUUGCUCGAGGGCUCUCUGAUUGUAAUACAUAUUGACUGAAUCAUUUGUUCUCCUACUGUCAUUUAGAAGGAAACUGUUCAGCUUUAAUUGGAUACCAAUUCGCCUAUCAGUGGCACUUUGAAAGAUCUUCUAACGAUGGGUUGAAGCAUAUCUUCAAUCAAGCAUGCUAAGGUAUCUCUCAAUUGCUACUUAUGAUGCCAACAUAGCUAGAGUUUCCUAAUUUUACUAAUAUUCUAACAAUGGAGCCUUUACAACUUUAUAGAAAACAAUUGCAGGUCCCAUUAUUAAGCCUGUCAAGGUCUUAAUAUAAAAGUGACGAUGAGAUUCUUAAGCUGGUUGGAUCUUUGUCUAAACUCUAAACAAUUCUAGGGAUGGUACCACUCUAAAGAGGAAACAUUCAUUGCUAAUGUGACUUCCUACUUAAGAUCAACUUUGAGUAUUUUGGUAAGGCUUCGAGUAUUUAGGGGAAUCAAUGUUGUCUUAUGGGUUUGCGGGAAUAAGUGUGCUUCAAUUGAAGUGUCAACAACUAACUCACACAAAAAAUUGUGUAGGAAAGAUUUUUCAGAUUAAGUUAAUUAUUCACAAAUUCACAAUGAACAGAUUGGAAUGAAGUUGGAUGAGAUAUUCGUUCUGGGCUUUGUUUUUUUUUAGAAAGGGUUUACAAACACCCAUAUUUGCAGUCUAGAUCUUCAUCUGAUAUCUGUACAUACGUAGAGUCGAGGGCAGGAACGUUAUUUGCAAUUUGACAUCAAAGGUUGUUGAAUUUUAUUGAGGGCAUCUUUAUGCUUAAUGGUGUUUGUGAUUCAAUUUAUACUUCCAUUAUGGCAUUUUCUUUUUUUGUGCUUCUUAAGUAAGAUAUGUACUUGUGUUCUUCUAUAUAUAGUUUUCCUUUACCAAUUUUUAAUUAUCAAAAUCAUCAAUAUGAAUUCUCUUUGUUUCAGCAUGAUCUAAGCAAUUUAAUGCAAUUAUCAGAGCUCACUUAUUAAUAAAACUCAUUUUGAACAAUUUAGUUGGUGGAUGUGAGGCUAGAUUAAUGUUAUGUUCUUGUUUCAAUUGAAAAUCUUAUCUGUUAAGGAUCUAAUGUGUGCAUCUAUAAUCUGUUGUACAGAUUAUGCCUAUAGGAAUGGGGUCUCGUGUCCUGGAAAUUAGAAUGUGUUGUAGUGGAGUGUGUAAAUUCUACAUUAGCUGAGGUAUGUAUCUAACUUGCUUUCUAUUCAUUAAGGUUCUUAAUAAUCAAUGUACUAUUGAACCAUCUAUUGAACAAGUGGUGCUCAUUCUCGCAAAUUCGAGUUGUACCACAACUGGUAUUCAUGCCGUUCCAGUUCCUCAUAGUGGUUGACUGUUGCCAAUUGUUGAACAUGUAGAGCUCCUUGCUGCAAAUCAAGGGGAGGUUGGCAGGGGCAAUUUUUGGUUGAGAGAGUGUAGGUGAAUGCAGGGUGGAGGGUGAGUGAUGGUGGGGCCGCACAGAUUGCAGUUUGAGAUAGGCAUGAUCUUCCAAUCCACUAUUAGUCAACAAGGUGAUGAAAGCACGUCUUGGUAUUAUAUGAGGAGCCUAAAUGUGUUUCCACCAACGUUGAGAUCGGAGUUACCUCUAGAUCUUAGAACCUCAUAAGCAGUGUUGAUUGUGUAUUUACCUGUACUUACCUGUAGGAUGUGGUAUUCCUUAGAGCAUUCCAAAUGUGUUUUAACUCCAGUGUAGAAUUCUGAGGCAUUACCCAUCUUCCAUGUUGAAGUUUGUCUAUGUAGGUUGUGUUCUUUUUUCCAGCCAUUUCACUCCAGAGAGUUGUUAGUCUUGUACUAUGGAUUUGGUAUAGAUUAGUAUUUAGUAGUCUUUACAUUUGUUGAACUCAUUUCAGUAUGUACAUCAUUGAAUGAUAUCUUCUGCAGUUAUGCUGCUCUAUAGUUUUCUCAAUAUGAUACCUCCUUGUAGUAUGACAACAGCGUAAGCAUGUUAGUGUGAACUGUAACAUUAACAUCUCUGUCGGGCAGAUCGGUACUGAUUAUUUAUGAUCUAUGCUCAUUAUUUUUUGGUAGGCAUCCAAGAUGCAGAUUAUGCUGCACGAAAAUUCAAUUUUCAUUUUUUAUUCAUCUAUAGGUUUUGCUUAAUGUGUCAGUUUGUAAUGUCAGUUGAUGGUUCUUGCUUGCUAUGUGUGAAAUAGCGUAGGUGGCUUUAACAGUACUAGAAGCAUUUCUGUGAUCAGGAAAUAGCUUGUCAAAGCAUGCUGCACAAAUGGUAGACAAUUGAGAUUAAUCUGGUGUUUAGGAUUAGAUCUUCCAUCUAAGGUUUCGUUUUUCUUAC